UGCUGUUAGUGUGAUGUGUGUGAGGGUGCUGUUGGUGUGAUGUGAGGGUAUUUUUGUGUGUGUGUGUGUGUGUGUGUGUUUGUGACUGUGCUGUUUGUGUGUGAGGGUGUUUGUGUGUGUAUGUCCUGUGAGGGUGCUGUUUGUGUGAGUGUCGUGUAUUUGUGAGGGUGCUGUUUGUGUGUGUGUUUGUGAGGGUGCUGUUAGUGUGCUGUGUGUGAGGGUGUUGUGUUUUUUUUAAAGGUGCUGUGUGUGUUUGUGAGGGUGCGGUUAGUGUACUGUGUGUGUGUGAGCUGUAUGUGUGUAGGUGCUGUAUGUGUGUGUGCUGUAUGUUUGGAGGGAUUUGGCAGAUUAGUAAAUCCUUGCUGCCAUGUGCCAUCCCUGGUGGUCCAGUGGAGAGUGAACUCUAGCCUG